rnacentral:rRNA from 1 species
CCCCGCACAAGCAGCGGAGCGUGUGGUUUAAUUCGAUGCUACACGAAGAACCUUACCAGGGUUUUGACAUGCAAGUGGUAGGAAGCCGAAAGGUGACCGACCCUUCGGGGAGCUUGCACAGGUGCUGCAUGGCUGUCGUCAGCUCGUGUCGUGAGAUGUUCGGUUAAGUCCGCUAACGAGCGCAACCCUCGCUGUGUGUUAUAUGUGUCAUACGAGACUGCCGGUAAAAAGCCGGAGGAAGGUGAGGAUGAUGUCAAGUCAGCAUGACCUUUAUAUCCAGGGCUACACACACGCUACAAUGGUCUGUACAAUGGGUAGCCAAGCCGCGAGGCGGAGCCAAUCCUGAAAGCAGGCCUCAGUUCAGAUUGCAGUCUGCAACUCGACUGCAUGAAGCCGGAGUUGCUAGUAACCGCAGGUCAGCAAUACUGCGGUGAAUACGUUCCCGGGCCUU